rfam:Alligator mississippiensis ScZkoYb_111, whole genome shotgun sequence.
GAAUUUGCGCAGUGGCAGUAUCGUAGCCAAUGAGGUUAAUCCGAGGCGCGAUUAUUGCUAAUUCAGAUAGAUUUGGUGAAUCAUCCACCACAGUUUUCUGAAUAGAGUAUCGGCUGAAUGGAGAUUUAUUUACAAA